CGGACGGGUGAGUAAUGUCUGGGAAACUGCCUGAUGGAGGGGGAUAACUACUGGAAACGGUAGCUAAUACCGCAUAACGUCGCAAGACCAAAGAGGGGGACCUUAGGGCCUCCUGCCAUCGGAUGCGCCCAGAUGGGAUUAGCUAGUAGGUGGGGUAACGGCUCACCUAGGCGACGAUCCCUAGCUGGUCUGAGAGGAUGACCAGCCACACUGGAACUGAGACACGGUCCAG
rnacentral:rRNA from 1 species